GCCCGGGUGGCGGAAUAGGCAGACGCACAGGACUUAAAAUCCUGCGAUGGCAACAUCGUGCCGGUUCGACCCCGGCUCCGGGCACCA
rnacentral:tRNA from 1 species